rnacentral:lncRNA from 10 species
GAAGAGCUGAAGGAGGGGAUAGGAGCAAAAACAUCUCAACACAGCAUCCUCAGAGCCAGAGGCCCCCUCACCCGAUGGCGGGGAAGGAAGCUGACAUUGGCCAGAGGGGGCACCUGACUGUGCUGCAGGGCUGCCCAUGUCCUGUCUGCUGCAGGAGCUCCGAGGUCACUGCGUCUGUCCUUCCCACAGGGCCAUCAACGAUCCUGAGGCUCCCUGAGGUCACCCAGUUCAGAAGUGGCACAGCCCUCUCAUUGCAGGCGUUGGAGGGGCAAGGAGUGGAAGAAGGGGAAACGGUGGCGAGAGCGCGGGGCAGCUGCCUCUCAGGAAGUCCCAGGGAGCCCUAGGAUGCCCAGGCCCUGUUCUUCAGACUGCCAGCCCCUCCUGGCCUUCUCUAAAUUCCCACCCCUCACUUUUUCCUCAGUUUCCUUAAUGCUACUAGCUCCCCUUUCUCUGCAACUUCCACAUACAGCCUAGUUUCAGAGUGGGAAAGGACUGCGGGGUGGGCUGGUGCAAGCUCCUCACUGGCCCAUAAGGAAAGUGAGGCCUGGGGACUGGGCCCGGGUGGAGCUGUGGGACCUGAGCCAGAGACACUGCCCCCUUUGACUUCUGGCCUCCCAUCCUGCUCCCAACUGUCCUGUGGACUUCAGCAUGACAAGGGCCUGUUAUGCAAACUCCUUUGGUCUCCAAGUUCAAUAGUCAACCCUAUGGUUUGCCUUUCUCUGCCAGAGCCCACUCCUCGCCUCCCCCAAAGAAAGGCCAGGGACUGGGAUUUGCUGUUUUGUGCUGCCCUCUAGCGGCAAUCUGUAGGAAAGCACCCAAGAAGUCUCACGCUGAUUUAGAGACGGUUGUAGAGACAAUAGCGGACCUAGCUCCUGUCCUCAGCCCUUCACGGGAGGGGGAAAGGGGAUCCAGCUCCCUGAGUUUUUACUACAUGCUGGGCACAGUACCAGGUGAUUUCU